CUUUGCCCUAGUAGCUUAAAUUUAACCUAAAGCCUUG
rnacentral:tRNA from 1 species